CACGUACACUGCGAUGUACUUAUUUAUUAGUAUAGGUAUUACAACCAGUAGGUACCUAUACCCGAACACCAGCCGCACGCAGGGUCCUCGCAAAUUGCCCGUGUCGAUAACAUGGAGAAUCCCCGGUGCAUUGUAGCGGCGUCGUUUGAGGAACUGGGACAAAAGUCCGACGGCACAGGCGCGCGGCGGCGGCGCGGCACCUGCGCGCGAUCAUAAAACCAAACGAGUAGGUAUUAUUAAUCUUAGCAAAGUAUGAAUG